rnacentral:lncRNA from 1 species
AGUAAACCUCUUUAUUUAUUGGUUAUUUCGGUUCAUUAUUUUGCCUUUAAAUGGUUACAUGCUUCCUUGUUCAUACUAGCAUUAUAUUCCACAUUAUGUCCAUGGGCUAACAAAAUACUCUGUUCAGUGUAUCAGAUUACUAGUUACUUCAAUCAAUUUCUCAUCAAACUCAUAUGAUAUUUGUGACAGUAGGAUUGAUCUUAACACCAUAUUUUGUUGUCAUAGCAGGAGAUUGUGUUUAUUUGUUCUGCUCAAUUUUGAUGAUAAGUUUAUAGUCAUGGUAUAUUGUAUAUAAAGUUGAGUGUUUCGUAUUUGAAGCAUAGCACAUUAUGACCUUCAAAAUCAUGCAAUUUGUAAUUUUCAUUAAGCAUUUCAGCCUCAUGAACUGAAUGGCAAUACCAUGCACAAGAUGAAUAAUGCAUAUUCAAACAUUUUCCCUAGCCUUUAUCUCGUCAAAAUAAGAUCAAUGACAGUUAUGGAUCGUAAGGCUUGUUGUCUUCAAAGAUAUAAAGCCCAUCACAAUUUCAACCUCCCUUUUCUUGUCAUUUUGGACACUGGCACACAGUCUAGUAUACACCUUUGCGUAUCAUUGUUUAUAUUGAUUUGUAGCAAAAGAAACAUUUAAAAGAUAGUGAGAUGAAAGUAUGUUAUUCCGACAAACCAAGUAAUAGUAUUCACAAAUGAGAGAUCCCACUACUUCUUUCUGUAUAAGAGUGUUAGGGGGUCAAAGUGUUGAAAUGUUGAUUGCUAAACAUCAAUACGUGGCAGACUCCUACUGUCAUUUACCAGCAGAGAAGAUUCUUUCUUAUCUUGGUAACAUUUUAUACAUUUCCCUGUCUGUUCCUACACAUAUUAUGAUGCACAAAAUCUUAGAGAGCUGAUUAAGAAGUAGGUAUACUCACCUUUUCCUCGUAACUUCACACCUUGCAUUUUUUUUAUGAUGCACGAAAUCUUAGAGAGCUGAUUAUGAAGUAGGUAUACUCACCUUUUCUUCGUAACUUCACACCUUGCAUUUUUCUUAUUCUUCACUACAUAAGAAAUAUAUGUACAAAUUAUAUAUAUCCAUGAUUUCUGGCAAACCAUUCUUAUCUCUCUCACUGACUUCAUGAACUACACUUUACGGUAAUCCACAUUUGGUUAUAUAUAUUUUUGGUUAACAUAUUUCUAUUUUACUGCUAAAGUGCUAUUGAUCCUUUUUGC